GCCGGGAUGGUGGAACUGGCAGACACGCCAGACUCAAAAUCUGGUGGGGGCAACUCCGUGGGGGUUCGAUUCCCCCUCCCGGCA
rnacentral:tRNA from 1 species